UAUGGGAAGAACCUUAAGGGUGGAGUGGUAAUUAAACACAAGAAAUUUUUGGGGCAAACUUGUAAUUAAGCCCCCUCCCAUAAGCCUACACGUUCUCUCUCUCUCCCACUUGUCUUCUCUUUUGUAAUUUCUCACUUCUUGUUCUCACCGUCCUCCAUGGCUGAUCCAUUGAAGGUCCUAUAUCCUUACCACCACUUCAAAUAACCCCCUCAAUAGCUUGAAUCCAACAAGUAUGAUCUUCCAUGAGUUUUGGCUGCCCCAAACAAUGAUUUUAAGGUUUCGAGAUUCUUGGUGAUGGACCUAGUAAUUGGAUUGCUUGCUUAGGUGGUGGUGCCCGGUUGAGGUAAAAUUGGUUGGCCUCCUGAGGUAAGUAGCUUUUAAUGGGAUUUUUUGAAAAUGACCACAUUGCAUAAACUUUGUUUUUGGGUCAAACACAUUUUGGAAAAUUAUUUGUGGAACUAUAUUUUCUUAAAAAUUAUUGUGUUGUGACCCUAUUAUAUAUGAUUGUAUAUGAAAAGAGUAUCAUGUUUAAUAUUGAAUAUGGAGAAAUGCAUGAUUUGUUAGUAUGGAAGAGAUAAACAUCUUUGAUAUAAUUCUUGGGAAUGGAUUUUAUGGAUUUGAUGCAUUAUUUGCAAAUUCUAAAGAUGUUUUAUCUUGACUUGUGAUAUUUUAGAAAUGGAUAGAAAAUGUUAUUGACAAGAAAUGAUUUUGGAAAAUUUGGGAACCUUGUGAAUAUAUUGGGUAUUUCAAAGGUUUUUGUGUAACUACUUGAAAUUGAACUGUGUUUUGAAUUCAUGUAAUCUGUGAGCUCUUUAUAUUUUACCCUUGUGCUGUGAUGUGUGAUUACCCGGUGAUCACCUAGCUAGAUACUAUAGUCUAUGUGACAUUGGUAUCUUAGCACCUGUCUUUGUGACGGCAUAUGAGUUCCGUCUUUGUGAGGGUAGAUUAGUUCCGACUAUGUGUCGGCAAUGAGCUUUGGUUAUGUGUUGGUGAUGAGUUUCGUCUUUGUGACGGCAGAUUAGUUUCGACUGUGUGUUGGCGAUAAGUUCUGUUUUUGUGACGACAGAUGAGUUCCGUCUUUGUGACAACGCUGUCACAUGGCCUUGGGUUGGAUUUUCAAGUUUUAAAAGGAUGUUUUCAUAGCUCACAGUAAAUAGUAUGUAGUUUCAUGUUGAAAUAUUUUGAGGAAGUUUGGUGCUACAUUCUUUUAAUCAUUCUUGUCAUUUUAUUAAGAAAAAUGGUUUUUAAUGAUCCAAAUGGAAAUUCUCAAAGUAUAACAUAUUUUGUAAGAUGCCCAUUAUCAUGAAACUUGUAUUUUCCCCACCCACAUUAAUUAUGCUACUUACUGAGCUUUAGCUCAUCCCACUCUCCAACAGUUUUUUAGAUAAAUUUGCUAUACCUUGGGCAUGAAGCUUGUUUUAUUGGUGGUGAUUGGAGCAUCAUGCUAAUUGAGAGAUUUAUGCUAUGAUUGGUUGGUGACUCAACUUUCUAAAUUUAUUGAGGCCAUAGCUAAUUCUAUCGGAGGUUGGGCCCUUGAGGUUUGUUAGUCUUGGGCAUAGUAGGCAUAGAUUCUAUCGUCGUGGUUGCCUUUCCUUGGAAGGAUUGUGAUAUGAUGUUGAUCCAUUUGGAAUUUUGUAUAUAUUUGGAGACAGUAUUUGUAAUUCAUAUUAUUUGUAAAUGUGUUAUAGAGCACUGACUUCUAAUAUGGAGAUUUUAGUAUGGUUAUUUAUC